UGCCUUUAUGUGUUGCCCGUUCAUUUUCUUUUAGAUGAAUGUGGUGUCAAACAAGGCGCACAAAAAACUCUUGUAAAAGCUUUAACUCAUAAAAUCCUUGUGAUUUUUGUGAAAUUCUGCCACAAGGACAUCC